CUAAAGACAAAGUCCAAAGGUCAAUAGCUGCCUGUAGGCUACUGUGUUUUGUUCAGAGUCAGAUAUAUAGAAACAGUCACCCACCUAGGAGGGUACUACAGAUGUAAAUGUUUAUCUUAAUAAAUGAAUCCUGCUGCAUCAGAAAUGACAUCUUAUCAAGUCAUCAAAUCAAACCAUUUGAGAAAUCUGACUCCCUGACCUGAUCGUUAGAUGUGUGGUCAGAAUCCCAGCACAUGAACUGGCACUGCUUCUGGGAAUUAUGAGUCAGCCUUUCAUGUUCUUCCUGGUGUUGAAGCAAGUCUCUGCAGAGGAGAAAGAGCAAUCUGUCAGGUGAUUUGUUCUAAUACAUCAAAAAUUGCUUCUCAGGAGAGACUCUAUUCUUUGGUAGGUACCUUUAAAGUUCUUUAAUGCCA